GUGCUCCCUCAGAAGAGAAGCCCGACCCGAGCAGCGCGGCGCCCGCCCACCUCACAGCGCACCCCGCAACGCUCCGCCGCUCCCUUCUGGGCCGUCCCGUACCGCGGGAGGCCCCGCGCCGCCCUCCGGCCGCACCUGACGCCCCCCGCUCCGCUCAGCUCAGCUCACCUGGCUCCGGGCCGCCCCUGGGCGGUGCUUCUGUCGGCGGGGGCGCGGAGGGGGCCCGGCAGCACCGUGCCGCGCAGAUGGCGGCGAAAAGUGCAGGUUUCAGUGAGGGUGGUGUGGCUCGUGUCAGACUCCUUGACCCUGUGGAGGUGCUUUGGAGACUUGGCACCAAAGUGGUGCCUGCAGUCAGUGAGUGUGCCUGUAACACGACAUACAGAGGGAAAAUCCUUCAUUCAUCUUUACCAAGCUCCAGAAGGUGGAGAGAGGGCCAGUGGAGACAUGUAAUGAAUGUCGAUAACUACAUUUAAUUUCUUUGGCAAGUGUUUGUUUCUAAUUUUAAUGACCAAGUCUAGUACCUACCUAUUGAAAUCCUGGCUGCCAUCAGAACGUCUCUGAAAAACAGUCCAACCACCCCCUUCAGACAUGUCACAGAAGGCCAGGAAUUCAUUAGGACUCUGGUAACAAAGAAGUCAGCCAUAAUAACAAAAGAGUCUUCGAGGAUGCUGAGUAUGUAAAUAAAUAUAUAGAUAAAAUUCAAAGUCAGACUUACAAAAGCUUUUAAUUUUACUUCAAUGGUGCUUUAUUAUGUGAUGCUUUCUUAUAUGUCGUAUUUUCUUCCAGAAGCAAAAAUUAUAUUCAGUUUAUAAUUAUAUUCAAACCAAUGUAUUGAAUAUCUUAGAAGUUUAGACUCUUGAGCAUAGGACAACUAGAACCCCCCAAAUCCUUUGGGGCUAUCCGGUCAAAAAAAAUUAUCUUAAAAUCUAUCCAAAAAACCAACAGAGUAGGUCAUGUAUACACCUCCUGUGUAAUAUAAUUCCAUCAUGAUAUUUCAUUUCAAAUAAAUAGAAAUUAAAAUGUGGAUUUUCUAGGCCACUUUAAAGGUAUAGCUCUUUGUAGCAAGUACAGCCUUCUGCAUUAUCAUAGAUGUUAAGUUGUCUAUGCAACUUCCAUCUUGGUAACACAAGGAAGGUAACAACAGCUGACAUGAUAGAGAUGUGAGCGUACACUGUGUGUGAGUACAGUAUCUUUUCUGAGACAAUGAUUGCCUCUAAACUGAUAAUGCUAAAUAGUAAAUUGCAAGGAAUGAAAUCUUCUGAAAAUAACCAUAAAGCUGAUUAAACAACCAGGAAACUACCAGAUUACUUCUGAGAAAAAUGAGUCAGCUUGAAGUAUGCAAAUGUGUAUAGAUGAGGGCAAGAGACCUAGAUAACUGACCAGUUAAACCAGAUUUCACACUUCUAAUAGUUGCUCUGCCAAGAUCAAAACUUACCUCCAAACCUAAUGCUUCCCAGUGAACACCACACAAAGCCUACCUGCAGGCUACUGAAUUGACAACAUGGGGUACAAUAAGCAGGAUCUUAGACUUCAGAUGUUUGUAUGUGUACUUCUAGGAUGUUUUCUCACUGAAACAUGGAUUAGCGGACUUCAGGCAGCAGAUGGUACACAAACUAUUGCACUCAGAUUUCCAUCUCCAGGAGGUGUGUGUGAACUGGGGAACCUGCACUUCCAGAGGAGGUAUGAAUUACCCACCUCUGCAAGAGCAAGUGUGUGCCUGCAACCCUAAGAAUGUGUAAAUGUGAACUGAGAUUGACCAACGGUUCUAAAUCCUGUGUGUUAGAACUUCUUGUUAUGAGUUAAGGGAUGUUUAAAAAUUGUUAGAUUUAAAAAUCUGUAAUAGCUUACUAACAUUCUGUAAAUGCCUUUUAUUGUUAUUGUCUUUUUUCUGUUGCGUUGCUGACAAUGACUCUAAAUUAUGAUUGUUUUUUUUUUUUUUAAUUAUACACUAUUAAUAAAUUAAUAAACCUCUUCAAUCCUUAUUUCUUUUAUAUCGUGAGAUGAACAGAUUUUCCCCAGGACAGCAGGCCUAGGUAAGAGAUGAACACUGUGCUUGAAACAAACCAUUUUCUGUGAGUUGUAAGACAAUACGUGAAUGGGCCUGAUUGUGCUAAAGCUUCUGGGUAUCACUACAAUGAACGGAAAUGAAUAGCUUUAUUUCUAACCUGAAUACUGUCUUUUUCCUCCCAAGUCAAUGACACUGUUUUCAUCUCCUCUGUCUCUGUACUGUAUCUCUUUCUUCUCUAAAAGCUGUAUAAUUUUUAACUGCUGCUGUUUCACACGAUGUUCCAGAAGUCUCACCUGGGCCUGAAGUUGUAUCUGCUCUUGAAAACAGUUCUGUAGAUCCUAGAGAGGAAAACAUCUUAUUAUAAAACAUUUUUUUUGUCAAGUUUAACUUCUGAAAAAGAAAAUCUAAUAUGAAUAAAGUAUUUUUCCACAAUUCCCUACAGACAUAGGUGUUGACUUUCACCUCAACUUUUACCUCUAUUUGAACUGAUUUGGUAUUCUAGGGUGUUCAGCCAUAGAGAACUUCUCUUUAGUGGUUCUGCUACCAGUUCUCACUGGAAACAUGCAGAUGGGACUCAGUAUGCUACAGACCUGAGCCUAUUGUAAUGAUCACUUACUCUCUAUCACCUCAUCAUCUACAAAUACUUACUAUCCAGAAAGGAAUGCUGCUAACAUUGUUAAGAUUCUAAAAUUCCCAGUUUAAAACAAAUUCACAUUUAUACUUUUUCAACUUUAUUGUUCAUUUUUAAAUGCUUUUAGGUUAUACACUUCUUACAAUAAGAAUCUUAAGAUCGCUGACAUAAAUACUGUAAAAUUUAGAGCUCUUUUGGCUUGCUAAAAUAAAUAGCCCCUAAGAAACUGCAAAUAUAUGCAUGAAAAAUAACAGCUUAAAGUUUAAGGUCAGUAUUGUGCUGUGACUUGUACACCUAAUUUUGCCAUGCAAGAGUAGGGAAGAUGUUGCAACUCUGAUAUGGUGGUACCUUCUAAUCACAUGAGCUAAGGAUGUAGGCCCAUAACAACUGCCAUCCCUAUGGAAGAGCUGAUAUGUUAGAACACUGCCCUAUCACGCUUAAGGAACAGGUAAAUCUGAAGUAGCAUACUUAUAUCCACUGGCAUCAGUAUAUUUCCAUUUGCAUCAUGCUCAGGCUUCAUUUGUUUUCUACAAACACUACCACCAAUAUGUUUCGUAGAACCAUAGAAUGGCCUGCGUUGAAAAGAACCACAAUGGUCACCAAGUUUCAGCCCCCCUGCUAUGUUCUUGGUCACCAACCACUAGGCCAGGCUGCCCAGAGCCACAUCCGCUUUCUUGCUGCAGUGAUUUUUUUUCCUUCUGUCUGAAAAUCUGAUACAAUUCUGCACAUUUCUGUGCAGUGGAAAUACAGUUCUGUUUGGAUAUUUCCCUGCAGUACCAUUAGUAAUUCUCUACAACUCCAAGAAUAGAGUCUGUGAAUUAGCUAACAGUAUUGAUAAGAAACUGCAUUUUAUUUUGAAUUCAUGUGGAAUUUUCUCAUAAUUUAUUUGUGGCACUAGUUAAAAAUCAGGGGAACUUCUAUUACUGUCAUGAAACAUACACAUAAACUGCCAUUAUUAUGAUGUUAUUUCUGGCAUAAAAGUGUUGCUUAUGUCUAAGAUAAUUUGGGUGUUGUUUUUUUUUUUUUUUUUUUUUUUUUGAAUACUAGGAUGCAGUUCACUUUCAAUUUACAAAAUUAACUUGAAAAAUUUCAAUAAAAUAUUCGAAGAUAAAAGAAUGUACGUCCAUGGUUUUACUAAAACGGUUCAAAGCCAUCAUGUUCCAUUUGACUGUAAUACUCAGUCUUGUAGAAAAAGUGUGUUCCUCAUGCAUGCUGACUCUACAGAAUGAUCCUGAGUAUAGGCCUCUGCUGUAAGUAUUGCUGAAUAUUAUCACAUGCUUGCUAAACUGCAAACUAAUAUAUAUGGUAGAAUAAAAGACCAGGGUAUAUACAGAUGGCAGGACAAGGCAGUUUGGCUACCUCUCUGCAGCUGAGCUGCCCAUACUAACCAGCUUUGACAGCAAAUUUGCCUGCAGGCUCCAACUGCUUGCUACUGCAUCCUGAGAAGCCAUUAAAAUGCUUAACCACAAGGAGGAGUUGUAAAGUGAGAGGCACAAUAUACUAAGUGACAAAGUUUUUGGAAGGAAUUUAAAAAAAACAAUCUAGUGACCUAAAAUCCCAAGAGCCCCAUCUUAUUUAAGAUUACUCCCUUAAAAAUCUUUUAGAAUCUACCUUCAGUGUGACACUACGUCAUGUACCACUAUAAAAUGCCUGUAACAGGCUAUAACUUGCUGUUAUUCCUUCUGCUAGAUAUGGAUUAAAUUAAAACUGUUACAGCAGUGAAAUAUUUUAUAAGUGUGAAUGUGAUUGUGAUGGUCUCCAGGAGACAGCAGAGCCCACUGUCUGAAAACAAACUGAAGAUAAAUUGUUCUGUUUCAGUGAAGCAACUGUUCGCACUACAUGUUGAGAAGCAAUUACCUAACAGUUGCUGACAGCUCUGCUUGGGGACAUGCAGUCCCAUACUUAAACUACUAAUGUGUAUUCAUAAUCUUCAUUUUAUGUCAUGGUUGCGUGAAAUACUUAGCAGCUAGAGUCCUCUCAUUAAAACUGAUAGUAUGAAAUGGAAUAACUUAUAAAAACUAUGAAAACACAAGAACUUCACUUGAAGUGUUUUUGUCCUCUAUUUUUAGACUCUAAAUGAGCUUAAAAAAUCUCUUAAUGAUAUUGGACCGUGAAUUUUUAGAGAUGAAUUUUGGAAUGUUCCCAAUUCUUAAUUACUGUCAAUGACUGCCUAUAACAUUCUGACUGAAAAAUCAAAAUAAAGUAAGUGUACUUCAUAGUAAUGCCUCUUUCUCAAUAAUCUUCUAUAAAACACAGCAAGUUUCUUCAGUUGGUAAGUGAAGAUGAUUACAGAGGCAGAUGCUUCCUAUUCUGUCCCCGCAGAGCCAGUUAGGCAAACAAAAAGCUUCCAUAAGACAGGGUAAAUGGAGCGCUAUAAAGUGAUAGAAAACACAACAAUAAUAAUGGAAUAACAAAAUCCUAGGCUGCAACAAGUUAGGAUAAGCAUAAUAUAGCAAUCAUAGACAGACAGCUUACCUCAGAAGACCUCAGGAAGACAAAGAUUACUAACAAGAUACCCUUGCCUCCACUGCCAGCCCUUAAAUGAGGUCUGGGAAGGGGUUGAUCCUUGCUCCCCUGGGUUGGCCCUGCCUUCCUACCAGGAGUUCUAUCACUCUUUCAAGCUGUGACUUUAUAUUUCUGCUACAACAUGUCACAAACAUUUACACUCACCCAGUUCUAAGUUCAGCAAUCACUUUCAUGGGUAAUUUUGUAUCAACAAUCCCCACAUUCUCUGACAGUUAGGAUCUGAAUAUCAAAGUAGGUAGGACACCCAAUAUAUUAGUCACCCAGGAUUAGUGACUGUUACAGAAAUGCUGUCUUGGCCUGAAGCAGUGAUUGAGCACCUGGUGGGAAGGCAGGGCCAAACCAG
rnacentral:lncRNA from 1 species